CCAGAGGCUGGAAGGCUGCUGGGUAUGCCUGCUGACAAGAUGCUGGGGGACUGGAAAAACUGAGACCUUCGCAAGCUUUUAGCAGUCUAUAGUGACAAAUACGACAUGUCUGGGACAUGCUGUCAAGAAUAAGACAUCAGCUCUGGACAAAGAUCAGUGGGAGAUAGAGAAAAGAUGAAAUCUCCAACAGAUGUCCGACUUUUGAAAAAAAACAACUUGCAGCCUUCCUAUCAUAUCAUCUGUUGCAAAGCUCCAGAACCUGUGAAGAAGAUUCCACCAGCUCCCACAACUCCCACAUGCACACGGAGAUCAGAACUAGCCAUAGAGGCUGGCGUCUGGAUUCCAAGAUUCCAAGAUAUUUUUACUGCCCUGAACUUGGACAUUCCCUUUGGAAAGUUGGAAGGUGACGGGCUUCAGUUCUGUCACCUUAUGUGAGAAUGCAACAAACAAAAUGAAGUCUUCCAAUACUCUUUAAAACAUUUUUUUUGCUUGGACUUAAUGCUUCUGAAAGUGCCAAGAUGACAGCAGCAAUGUGCACAACCUGCAAGGGGACCUCACCCUUCAUCCAGCAGAACUGCUUAGAAGACUGCUGUAGUCAUGCUCAUCCUGUGGUGUUUCUUCUGAAACUACAUCUCAUUAAUGCUAAUUUUGACAGAAAUUUUGGGACUAGGAAUUAAACUGAGACCAGUCACUGUAUUUGACAUACUGACUACACAGCGGACAGGCAGCAAUGGCAGCUUUGAAGAACGAUCUUUCUCCAGCUAACUCUGAACAUUCAGUGUUCCAUUUGCCUCAGUAUCUUUGGCCACUGCAAAACUCCCAGAUGGAAAUAUGCAAGCUGCAACUUUUGCUGAAUUUGAAGGUCAGAGAUGAAUUCAACUGCAGGACCAUUUUGAGCUCAUGUAGGUAUUGCAUAACACGAAUACAUCUUACACCUCUCUAGUUUGCAGUGGUGCAAUUAGGUUACUGUCCCACUUAAAAACUGCUCUGGAAGCCAGUGUCCUGCAUUGUUCUGUCUCAUGAUAUUUC
rnacentral:lncRNA from 1 species